rnacentral:rRNA from 1 species
GGAGCACGCCGCGUGAGUGAUGAAGGUUUUCGGAUCGUAAAACUCUGUUGUUAGGGGAAGAACCAUUACGUCAGGCAAUGGACGUACCUUGACGGUACCUUAUUAGAAAGCCACGGCUAACUACGUGCCAGCAGCCGCGGUAAUACGUAGGUGGCAAGCGUUGUCCGGAAUUAUUGGGCGUAAAGCGCGCGCAGGUGGUUUCUUAAGUCUGAUGUGAAAGCCCACGGCUUAACCGAGGAGGGUCAUUGGAAACUGGGAGACUUGAGUGCAGAAGAGGAAAGUGGAAUUCCAUGUGUAGCGGUGAAAU